rnacentral:rRNA from 1 species
AUGCCCCUGCCCCUGCCCGUUCCCACCUCCCGCCUCCUCGCCGCCAUCUCCGCUGCUGCGUCCUCAACUGCAGACCUCCGCCGCCUCUCCCACCUCCUCCUCACCUCCUACACCCCACUCCCCCCGCUCCGCUGCCUCAAUACCCUCCUCAUGGCGCUCGCCCGCCACCGCAUGCUCCCGGACAUGGAGUCCUUCGCAUCCCGCAUGCCCGCGCGCAACCUUCGCACGUACACCACCCUUAUCAAUGCCUACUGCCUCGCCGGCGACCUCCCUGCUGCCAAGCGGCAUCUUGCCUCCCUACUCCGCGCUGGUCUUGCGCCGGACUCUCAUGCGUAUACCUCAUUUGUUCUCGGAUAUUGUCGGGCGGGGCUGCUUUCGCACGCCUGCCGGGUGUUCGUGCUAAUGCCGCUCCGAGGAUGUGCACGCACUGUGUUCACGUACACUGCUCUGCUCCAUGGGCUGUGUGGCGCCGGUAUGGUGCGUGAGGCUGUGGCAGUGUUUGCUGGGAUGCGGGCAGACGGGUGCGCCCCUGACACACAUGUGUAUGCCACGAUGGUGCAUGGACUGUGUGGGGCGGGGCGAACUGGAGAGGCAGAGGUUCUUCUCGCGGAGGCAAUGGCUGAGGGUUUUGAGCCAAAUGUGGUCGUCUACAAUGCCCUGAUUGAUGGCUACUGCAAUGCCGGGGACCUGGAGCUCGCGGUUAAGGUUUAUGAGAGGAUGGAUCUUAAGGGCUGCUCAGCAAAUGUGCGAACGUAUACUGAGCUGAUAUGUGGGUUCUGCAAAUCUGGCAAGGUGGACAGAGCCAUGGUGCUGUUCAGCCGGAUGGUCGAGGCUGGUUUGGCUCCAAAUGUGGUGACAUACACGGCCUUAAUUCAGGGGCAGUGCAAUAAUGGGCAGUUGGAAUGUGCUUUUAGGAUGCUCCAAUCGAUGGAGGCCACCGGGCUGGUUCCUAGUGAGUGGACUUGCUCGAUGUUGAUUGAUGCUCUGUGCAAACGUGGAAGGGUUGGGGAAGCUCAGUUGUUUCUUGGGUCUCUUAUACAGAAAGGAUACAGGGUGAAUGAGAUUGUCUACACCAGCUUGAUUGAUGGACUGUGCAAGGCAGGAAAGGUUGAUGCUGCUGACAAGUUAAUGCAGAAAUUGGUUUCACAGGGGUUUGUGCUAGACGCUCACACAUACAGUUCACUAAUUGAUGGAUUAUGCAGGCAAAAGGAGUUGUCACAAGCGAUGUUGGUGUUGGAUGAUAUGAUGGUGAAAGGAGUACAACCCAAUGCUGUCACGUAUACCAUUCUAAUUGAUGAGCUUGUUAGGGAGCUAGGACCUGAAGGUUCAAAGAAGAUACUUAAUAAGAUGAUUGCGGCAGGAAUUAAGCCUGAUGUUUUCACCUACACAAUAUUUGUUCGCUCCUACUGUCAUGAGGGAAGGAUGGAAGGUGCUGAACAUAUGAUGGUUGAAAUGGUUGAUCAGGGCAUUUCCCCUAAUUUAGUGACAUAUAACACUUUGAUUAGUGGGUAUGCAAAUUUAGGACUAGCCAGUCAAGCAUUUUCAGUUUUUAAGCACAUGGUUGCUAGUAGGUGCAAGCCAAAUGAGGUGUCCUACACGGCCCUGCUUAGAUUAUUGGUAAAGAAAAAAUCCUCUAAUAAUAUCCUUGCCAGCUCUGUUGAUAUAUGGAAAAUAGCAGAAAUGGAAUAUCUCCAGGAGCUUCUGGAGGAGGUGGUUAAGCUUCAGUUGCUUUCAGACAUUGAAAUUUACAAUUGUUUUCUUAGGUCUUUAUGCCGAGUUGAUAGAUUGGAGGAAACCAAAAUUUUGCUCGGUGAGAUGCAGAGUGCUAACUUGACCCCUGGCGAGGAUGUAUAUACUUCAAUUAUAGGGUGUUGUUGCAGACUAAAAAUGCCAACAGAAGCUUUGACAUUUCUUGAUUCAAUGAUCAAAAGUGGUUAUUUACCACGUGUAGAAUCGUAUAGGCAUAUUAUUUGUUCUCUUUGUGAGGAGGGAAGUAUUAAGACUGCUAAAAAGGUUUUGGGUGACAUGUUAUUGGAGGAAUACAACUAUGAUGAGAUAGUUUGGAAGAUUCUGGUUGAUGGUCUAUUGCGGAAGGGCAAUGCUGCCGAGUGUUUGAUUCUGCUCUCAGUGAUGGAGGAGCAAGAUUAUCGCCCUGGUGAUGCAUUGUAUGCCAAGCUUACAGAUGGCAAGGCAGUUGUCGUCACAGGAAGAAAGAAGGGUAUUUUAUUUGUCAGGAUUAGGGAUAUCAAUUACCUGCUUGAAGAGAUAUAUACAACACCGAAGUUGAAUUGUUUGUUGAGUUGA